rnacentral:rRNA from 1 species
UACGAAGGGUGCUAGCGUUGUUCGGAAUUACUGGGCGUAAAGCGCGCGUAGGCGGCUUGCCGAGUCAGGUGUGAAAUCCCACAGCUUAACUGUGGAACUGCCUUUGAAACUGUCAAGCUAGAGUGUCGGAGGGGAUAGCGGAAUUGCUAAUGUAGAGGUGAAAUUCGUAGAUAUUCGCAAGAACACCAGUGGCGAAGGCGGCUCACUGGCCCGAUACUGACGCUGAGGCACGAAAGCGUGGGGAGCAAACAGG